UUGAUUGUGAAUCGUUGCCUUCUGUGCUGGCUUCAGCAAGUGCACGCUGGUGACUUUCAUCCAACAACACCCUUGUGAACUUUUGGCCUCUUGCUAGCUUCAGCUGGCAAAGGAUUUUUACACACACGCUUGAAUGUAAUGAAAAAUUCUUGUUGUGCGCAAGCACUAAUAUA
rnacentral:misc_RNA from 1 species